CUUCUGCUGGGGGAUAAGUGCGCUGUGACAUGAAUAUCUGAGAGUGAGAAUUCUGGUGAUGAUGGCUUAAAUCGCAACCAAAGUAAAGUUAAUGCUAAUAGUAAGGAAUAGGUUUUUGAACUCAUUACCCACUGAAUGAACAGCCCUGUGUUAGGAGCUGAUGAGGGAUACAGAAACAGAAGACCCAGGCUGAGGAUUCAAGGAGAGUUUAAAAGUGUAUUGGAGAGAAAAAGACUCAUACAGGAAAACACAGCAAGUUAUGUUUGGGCAGCACAGUUUGAGAAGUGCUUGAAUCAUGGAGUAAAGCAUAGAGUUUGAUAGGAAGGAGCAAAUUCAAAGAGAAGAAAUAGGCUCUCUCAGCUUAAGAAGCUUUCUAAGAGGAAGUACUAAAACCUGAACUGGAGAGGUAGCAAGAUGUCAUACUCCACAAAUACUAGUGGGUAGAGAUUGGAGCUCAUGGGGUGGCGGGGACCCGACAUGAGGCUUCCUUAGUGGCUGGAGCAGUUAUUCGUGAGUGUGGAACAGCCCAGUGAGGAAGGGAACCCCGGAGAAACAAGGCAGAGAAGACGGACAACAAUUUAGGGAAGACUGGACACCAGGCAAUACCAGAGCCUGAGAGUAACGGGGUAGGAUAUGUGUGUGUGCACACGCACACACACACACACACCACAUUCACAUAUAAGAUCCACACUCACAUAUAAGAGAAGAAAGAGCUGGAAGAGUCUAUGAAACCUGGUUUAAAACAGAUUGCUCAGAGCCACUGAACCGAGAUUUGGGCGACAAGGAAAGAGAGGCUGGGAUUCACACUCCAGAAUGAAGCAAGGCUCCAGGGAGAGAGCUGUCGAACAAUGGCGGGGAAUUUUCUCCCUGUCUCCGUUUCUAAGCAGCCCUAUUCCUACCUGGGGGCAGGAGCCCUUGUUGGGAGGGAGGGAGGAGCUGCCAGUCAUCACCUGUCACAAGUCACAGGACCAUGUGGGCGGCAGGAGGCGGGCCUCCCGUGCCCAGGCCCUGUCUCACUGGCUGGGAAGUGCCCAAGGCCAGGAUAAAAGGGCGCUGGGGCAGGACCCCUCCAUCCACUGCCCUCCUGAGGAGCUAGCUGACAGACCCGCUGCUGCUCGUGUGCCUGCUCUGGAACACUGACCGCCAAGAUGUCCUGCCAGCAGAGCCAGCAACAGUGCCAGCCCCCUCCCAAGUGCCCUGCCCCUAAAUGCCCCCCAAAGUGUCCCCCAAAGUGCCCUCCAGCCUCUUCCUGCUGUAGUGUCAGCUCAGGAGGCUGUUCUGGCCUCAGCUCAGGGGGCUGCUGUGGCCCCAGCCUAGGGAGCUGCUGUGGCCCCAGCUCCGGGGGUGGUGGCUGCUUCCUGGGCCACUACAGGCACCACAGAGCCCACUGCCACCGCAGGCAACACAAACCUGCUGACUGCUGCAGCCAGCCCUCGGGGGGCUCCAGCUGCUGUGGAGGGGGUGUGGGUCAGUCCUCCGGAGGCUGCUGCUGAAGCGGACCUGACCUCCUCUUCCUCUGAGCCCCCUGAAUGCAGACAGGUCUGGGCAAAGGCUUGAGCUGCAGCCGGAACAUCUCCCUACCUUGGUGUCCAAAAGCCCAAAUGAUCUCCCUAAAUGCCAGUUAUUGACAUUCGCCUUAUCUGUGCCUUCUCUGGGAACUCCAAAGCAGACCUUAUGUCCUUAGACAACUUCUGAUACUGCCGACUGCUGCCUCAAUUGAAACAAUAAAUAUGGAAUCUGCUCACUUA